rnacentral:rRNA from 1 species
UACGUAGGGACCAAGCGUUGUUCGGAUUUACUGGGCGUAAAGGGCGCGUAGGCGGCUUCUUAAGUCAGGGGUGAAAUCCUGGAGCUCAACUCCAGAACUGCCUUUGAUACUGAGGAGCUUGAGUCCGGGAGAGGUGAGUGGAACUGCGAGUGUAGAGGUGAAAUUCGUAGAUAUUCGCAAGAACACCAGUGGCGAAGGCGGCUCACUGGCUCGGUACUGACGCUGAGGUGCGAAAGCGUGGGGAGCAAACAGG